GGAGAAAGGGAGAAGGAAGAGCGUGGUCCUACCCUGAAUCAUGAGCGAGGUGUGGUAUGAGGCCAACACCUGAAGAUGCUGAUGCUUCUGCUGCUCCUGGGGCCCAGCUCUGGGCUGGGUGCUCUGGUCUCCCAAGAUCCAAGUGCAGUCAUCUGCAAGAGCGGCGCCUCUGUGAGCAUCCAGUGCCAUGCGGACUUUCAAGCCUCCACCGUGUUUUGGUAUCGUCAGCUCCCGACACAGGGCCUCACGCUGAUGGCAACUUCGAACAUAGCCUCCAGCGCCACACAUGAACGAGACUUCCCUGAGGCCAAGUUUCUCAUUCGCCAUGUAAACCUCACAUUUUUCACUCUGAAGGUGAUGAGUGCGAGUCCUGCGGACAGCAGUCUCUACUUCUGCAGUGCUAGUAAUGUGGGGACACUGAGGAUUAUUACAUUAUUACAUCUACUUUAUAUAUGCGGAAAUUUUCCUAAUCAAGAGAAAAAUUAUUAAAAAGAAGACUUUCCC